CAGUCGCCGCGGGAAUACGUAGGGUGCAAGCGUUAAUCGGAAUUACUGGGCGUAAAGCGUGCGCAGGCGGUUAUAUAAGUCAGAUGUGAAAUCCCCGGGCUUAACCUGGGAACUGCAUUUGUGACUGGCGGGCUAGAGUAUGGCAGAGGGGGGUAGAAUUCCACGUGUAGCAGUGAAAUGCGUAGAGAUGUGGAGGAAUACCGAUGGCGAAGGCAGCCCCCUGGGCCAAUACUGACGCUCGUGCACGAAAGCGUGGGGAGCAAACAGGAUUAGAUACCCCUGUAGUCCCUGUCUCUUAUAC
rnacentral:rRNA from 1 species